CCAGCAGCUGCGGUAAUUCCAGCUCUAAUAGCGUAUAUUAAAGUUGUUGCAGUUAAAAAGCUCGUAGUCGGAAGUCGGGCUCGGGCAGGCUGUCGGCCUCGGUUGGGCAGCUUGCUUGGGUCUUCUAGCUCGGGGGCCCCGUGCCAUUUAACCGUGGUGCGCGGGAACACGGGCCGUUUACUUUGAAAAAAUUAGAGUGUUCAAAGCAGGCCUCGUCGCCUGAAUAAUGGUGCAUGGAAUAAUGGAAUAGGACCUCGGUUCUAUUUUGCUGGUUUUCGGAGCUGGAGGUAAUGAUUAAGAGGGACUGACGGGGGCAUUCGUAUUACGGUGUUAGAGGUGAAAUUCUUGGAUCGCCGUAAGACGAACUACUGCGAAAGCAUUUGCCAAGAAUGUUUUCAUUAAUCAAGAACGAAAGU
rnacentral:rRNA from 1 species